GACAUUGUAAAGACUUCACAAUAGUCUUUUAGUGCCACGCUAAGAGCAGUACUAGGAAUUUUACUGAGGAUGAAUUAUAUGCAUCCACAGAAGUUGUACAUUUCAUCUGUUUCAUGCCCUUUCGUCCUUUCACAAUUAUUUCCAGCUUUAAUUACCCAUUACAGCUGGAAAGUACAAAUUGGGCUGUAACUGUGAUGCCACUACCAUCACUACUGUGAUGUUAUUGAUGUCUGACAGUCAUGCAUCUAGAAGGGCUUUGUUUCAAACAAGGCAGGAUGCCAGAUCACAGCUGCCUUCCCUGCCUGAUUCUACAAAAGCUAACAAGAGCUUGGGCAGGUUGGGACUGGAAUCCAACAACUUGGACACAGUCAUUUUUCUUAACCACAGAAAUGCUUGUGGAAUUGUUUAAGACUGUCACUUUGAUCUCUUCUACGCUGUAGGAAACCAGCAGAUGCUGAGUAAUGGCUCAGUCCACACUCACAGAAAGAAGAGGUCCAGGUUUGAAUGAUCUUGGCCAUUGUUAACAAGGCAGAUCAAGAUUUUCUACAGAACUUCCGAGCAUUGUGGAUUCUCUUUCCUCAAAGACUUUCCUCUCUGACAAGAGCUCUUCACAAGGGGUUUGCCAUGUCCCUUUUUUCUCCAUAUUUUUUACAGUCCUUUUUGGAAGAGAUGCCUCUUGGUUACAGAAAAACAAAACAAACAAACAAAAAUAUAAUGUAAGAACAUGAAUUCUACCAAGAAACCCAAGGGCAAAGACUGCAGGGUUGGUACAAAUUAUCACUUCUAUAUUCUUUCUCAAAUCUCUGAAUUUUUUCCAGUGUCUCUAGAACCCUUAUUCACUGUGUUAGAAAAAAGCAAGCUGUUUCUCUUGCUAAAGUAACUCAAGAUCCUAAACCUUCUUUUGUCCAGAUACAAAGCAACCAAAAUUGAAAUCUCCUGAGUUCUGGUAAUUAUAUUGGAUAAGGGAAACACGGGCCUACGUCUAUGUUUUAGUAUUGAUCUCUCCUGUUGAAAUAGUUGGCUUUGGUACAAAAACUUGAUUGCUUAGUUGGUAAAGUAAAAAUGAUGUUCCUUGAAAAGACUUUUGUUUGGAAGCUGAAAAGACUCCAAGACUAUGUUCCUAAACAUGCAGAAGAAGAAACAUCUUCAAAGAACACCCUUGCUAUUUUACUAGAGUCUACUUUUAGGGCAUCAUCACCACGAGAUCUUGCAAGUAAGACAAGUGUUUCAUUGACACCAGUUCAUGUCCAGGGUUUUCAGUGGGCAAUAAGAUUGACAGAAAAGCUUUUUCCAUCUCCCCUCUGCAAAAACUCAGGCUUUCCUGCUUUUGCCCAGGGACAUUCUGCAAAAACACUUGUAAGUCUCAGGCUGCAGCUCUUCCCAUCAUCUACCCACUUCUGACUCAGGCAUAGGUAAAUACAUGCUUAUUUAGAAAUAUGAUGUAUUUAUUUUGCCAGUCAUUUACCUGGUAGUGAAAUGAAAAUCCUAUGAUAAACAUCCACACUCUGUGAAAGUUCCUUUGGAUCAGGCUUUUGGAGGUUGUCUGAGAGACCUGACUAACCACUUCUCAACCGGGUAUGCUGAAAAAUAUCUGCUACUAAUAUAAGGGACAUGCUACUGAAGUCAAACUUUGAAGCUUGUUUUCUGUACUGUACACACACAGAAGCGCAUAUAUAUAUAUAUAUAUAUAUAUAUAUAUAUAUAUAUGUACUGUCUAACACCUUCAGAAGUUAGUGGGAGUUAUGCACACAUACACUGACAGAAAAAACAAGCUUUUGAGGCUACACAAAGCUCAGUUUAUAUAGAAUCUUAUGGAGGUUUGACAUCCGAGGAAGUGAGGAGCAGUUAGCAGCUAAUGCUUUUCCGGUGAACUGGCCGGAUGAAUAGAGAUUGAUGUGGAUGAAAGGUAUGAAAAAUUAUUUUAUUGCCUCAUAGGAAGGCUACAGAGCCUUGCAUUUCAUGUACUUUAUUUAUGUAGCUACUUCCAUUCGUACAAAUGGGAGCUGUGUAUCUGUUCUGAGGGAAGUAUUGACCCCAAGGCUGUAUGGAGCAAUUAUACAUCAGAAAGUAUUCUUAUCUAUAAAGCCUUGCUUCUUAAUCCUGUUGCCAGAGGAAGCAGAAAAGCAACACAUUAGUUAACUAUGGCAAACACAUUCAAAAAGUACAUUCUAACCUUCCAGGAAAGAAGAAAGCUGAAGGGAUCUCUACAGUAAAAUUUGACAACACACACGGUGACAGAAUUAUGAACCCCUGAAAGAGAGAUCUGGCUGAUGCAUGAAUGAAAAGAAAAGCAGAGAUUUUAAAGAUGCUCAUGGACUGACACUGGAUGGGGAACUCUUGACUCUCUCACAUGAGACUUUGUAAGGUCAUGCAUUUGCUGCAGAACAUACUGAGUGACAGCAUGGACAAGCAUAAGUGAAAGCUGAUGCGCUGCAAAGACAAACUCAAGUUCCUACAUCCAUUUUGCUGCUGUCCUCUCCUGCAUAAAAUGUACAGGAAUUUUCCAGGUUACAGCAUCUAAUGGCUCCUCGUCCUGCUGCAGUCUCAGUUGCUAUGACAAUUCCUGCUCAGCCUUUUGCCAAACCUGUUCUUUCCAGCACACGUACAGAAGUGACACUGGCACAGCAACUCAUCGAACUGAGCCACUUCUGGGGACAGGCUCCAUGUUUUUGUGCGCAGCCUUUGUACCAGGAGCUGGAAGAGCAUGAGCUUAUUUGGAACAACAGGCAGUGCUCAGUGCUGGCAUUGAGGCCAUUUUCCUGCUGGAAGAGAGGAGGCAGAUCUGGGCCACGGAGCGUGACAGAGGGUGUGUUGGCAGCAGCUUGUCAUGCAGGGAAACAGUGGUGCUCUUUGUUAAGGUGACCACAGGGGUUGCCUGCAGUGGUGCUGUUGGGUAGAGGAGGGCUGGGCUCCUCCAUCCAUCUGGAGCACUGAUUUUUCCCUCAUCUAUCCUCCCAUAAACCUGCAUAUUUUCUUGCUACUGGCUGGAAAAUUAGCCCAGCUCAUGGUUCCCAGUAAAAAACUGGAUCUGCUUGGUACUUAAGAACAUCAAUCAAGUCCCAUGCUUGUCUUGCUUCUGUCAGAGAUCAUAUCUUAAACCUGAACACUUGGAAUUGGUUUCUGGACAUCACAACCUUCCAGAAUUUUCUACAUGUUGACGCUGAGGUCAAACAGAUAACAGGCUGUUAUAUGUUAAUAUAACAGGCUUUUAUAUGUUGAUAACUGACCUCCAGUUAGAGAAGGUGGAUUGAGCUUCAGAGCAAGACAGCACAGCACAGAUAUAAGGAAAUUAGUUAAAAUUCACAGGACACCCUCACAUCAGCAGUGAUUUGGCACAGAUUGUGUCCUGGAGUGAAAGUCACCACUACAGUCAAGAAAAAUCUCAAUAUACAUGUGCAGAAAUCAGAACAGUGUCAACAUCUGGUAAAUGCAUGGGAAUAAGUGGCACAGCGAAGACAUAUAUGGGUGUUGAGCACAGAUAUGUUAGGGCUAGUGACAGGUGUGGUUACAGACCUCUCAGAGACUCAGCAACUAUUUUUUACAUGAGACUAAGGAGAUCUGUUAAUUGAGUUAGCACAUUCAGUAAUGAUUGGCUUUUAGGAAAAAUAUCUCCUCAGAAUAGUAACUUUAAGCCCAGAACACAUGUGGAAAGGAUUUUGUAACAGGUGAUUUCUGGCAAAGAGCUGGCACGUGUCAUUUGAAGAGCACAGCAAUUCUCCUCCCCAGUCCAGAUUACACCAGAAGCCUCCCCUUUAUUUGAACUAUAAGCAUUCCACUAGUCUGUAAAGAUUUUUUUUGAGAUGUCUUGAUAAAAUACUGUCUACAGAGAGGAUAGCCUAAGAUCAAUGCAAAAAAACUAACAUGAAGAAGAUGCAGACUUCAGCUUCCACAUCACGUGGCAGAACCAGAAAUUUACUGAAAUCUGAUUAUCUAGAAUUGCUGCUUUAACUGUGCACCACACUCUGAAAGCUGACAUGAGACAUCCACUUUGACACAGAACAUCUCCCAUUACAACCAUCCAAUUCAGUGGAGUUUUUCCAGAGAGGCCACUGGAAUUUUUAGGAUGUCAUCUUGUCAUUAAGAAAUUAGAAAAUGCAACGUUUAUUGGUCAGACUUGUGAAGGAGAUGAGUGAGGGUGUUUAUUUUGCUUCAUGAUUGCAGAGACCCUAAAGUAUACAGAAUUUUUCAGUAGGAUAGAAGUACUGAGUAUGAAGAAUCAAAACUCAGUUAUAGCCAAUGUAAAUGAUGCUUGUAAGCUACCAGUGCUAGGAUGCCUCUUACAUCAGACAGAACUUGUGGGACUUUAUUAGUUUAAGUAACAUCACCAGAGAAGUGGGAAUGAACUGUCAGCUGUAUGCAAAGCCAUGAAAAAUAAAGCUGUAGCACUAAAAAAAAAAUAUAUAUCUACAACAAAGCAUGACAAAUACAAAGAAAUAGUUCAAAUAUUACACAAAGCAAACUGCAGUUUGAUUGCUCUUGUAAAGUACACUUAAUAAAUUUGCUGUAAAGAAUACACUGAUUUCUUUUUUUCUUACUGCUGAGAAAGGCUAACUAAAAUAUGUACACAAGCCAUCAAUCUUUGAUGGAUAUCUGGAGCCAGCAGUCAUAUUUUAAAAAGUUUGAUUUGCAUUUAUGCUGUACUCUACAAGCUGCUGCCUGUUUAGUUUUCCUGUGGUGGCAGCAGAUCAAAGUCUUAUGGAACAGAUCUUAUUUGUUGCCUGUAAAUAACAGUGGGUCACUGAAAGAAAGAACCUGUAAAACCUGGGGGUUAUUAACAAAGAGAUCUUUCCUUUGCUGCAAUGAAAAUAUAAAGAAGAAAACCAAGAGGAUUAUAAAUAUUCACAUGGAAUUGAAUGGUAUGUGUUAUUACAAAAAAAAUAAGGCAGGAAAAAUUCCAGUUUUCUGGUUUUCUUGCUUUACCUACUUUAUACUUUGAGGUAUUUUCUUAUGAACUCUGAGAGAGAUACACAUUCUCUGUGCCAGAUCUAACUUACUUGUGAUACUGCCUUUUCAGAAUUGGCUGAAUCUAAUAUAUCUUUAGAUAUAUUUUGGCACUCAGGGCCUAAAAGGGAAACGUUCUCAGCAGAUUCUGAGCUGGUGCAGAGUUGUCUUGCUGACUCUAAUGGCUGCAUAAAACAUGUGUUUAUGAGAAGCUGAGAAGACACAUUUCUCUGUACUGUGAAAACUGCAGCUAUACUCAGAGCAUUCAUAAAACAUUACAGCUACAUCUUUCCUUGUCAAACAGAGCCCUUAGAAUCAAUUCCCCGUAAAAGAUAACUCUUAGUCUCAACAAUUGCUGUGAUUCUUCUGUGUGUACAGAUCAAAAUCCAUUUCAGAAACAAACAAAAAAACUGUCUCUCUCUUCAGGACUUCUAUUUGCAAAAGCCUGAUGCUGUAAGCACACCCAGAGCUCUUGCUAGCGUCUGACUGCUGCCCUGGUGUAGUGGCAUGCUGAGAUGUGUGUGUGCUUAAGGAAUUUGACUCCACUCAUUUGCAUGGGAAAGGUUAAUUGAGUGAAGAUUAGUUAUAAAUCAAGGGAUAAGAAGCCAAUUUGGUUUGUACUAGAUCUUUCGUAGUGUUUCAAGAUGCAUUCUGCACAGUCCUAAGAACUGAAGGUGGAGUUGCAAGGAGUUAUUAAUGUCAGCUUAGUUUCUGAAGCAGAGGUUGAUGUGACUGUUCCCUCUGUCUGUUUUCAACCAGUCUGUCUGAACCUUUGGCUCUUCUCAGCCAAGUCUGACAAAGAAGGAAAGCUGCUGUCUGCCCAUUAUUAGUUGGGUGGAUGCAAAAGAAAUGAAAGGGCUUGAAGAAAUUAAUAUAGCUCUUAGUGUAAGAAACCUGGGAUUUAUAACUUUCAGCAGGGCAAAAUAACCUGCCUUUUGUACUUAACUAUAAUGUAUUACUACAUUAUAAUUGCAAAUGUAUAGAUAAAAAGGGAUUUUCUAACUUUUCUAAGAGUUAAAAAAAAAUUCAUGAGGUUUCAAGUAAGAAACAACUUAUUAAUCCAAACUUAGACAUGUAGUUAUUAGCCACAUGUACAUAAGAUCAGAACAGAUAAUGCUGUGUGUGAGGUUGUGGUGCAAAGUUUACUCUUGCUGCUUCUUACUGGAUAUUUGCUAAAACUGGAAGUGGCAUCCCUGAGGAUGUUCUUUCAUCAGUCAACAGCUCUGUGCUGCCUUGUGUGUUACUGCUGUAACGUUAAGGCCGUUUCCUUUCUGGACUUUGCUCUUCUCAUACCAGCUACAAACCAGGCUCUGCCACAAAACUUCACUUAGGUCUUUCUGUUCAAACAUCGGCUCUGCAUCCCAAUUUUUUUAUAUAUUUAAGGAAGAGGGAACCUUAGAGUCACCCAGAGAUGUUUCUGUGUGUAAGGGCUACUUGAGUGCAUUGGGAUGAUCAUCCCUUUCUGUGAUCAGAAAAUUCCUUGUCUUCUACAAAACAAAUUCUUCAUAACUUGUACAUUCUUUGCAAAUGAUCUGAAUUUCCCCCAGAGUUUAAAGUAUGGCAUAGCCUUGUCUGAGUUCAUUCUUGUCUGCCCCUUUACCAUGAGCAGUACCAAACCCAAAAGGUAAACACAGCUCCUUUUCCAAGAUCCAGCAUCUCGGGUGGAGCAGGUGGGGACACACAGGGGAGCACAAGGGCACAAUGGAACAAUAGUGGCCAGAGCAAUGAUUUCAGCAACUCACAGCUGUCCCAGCCCACUGCAAGGUUUUUCUCGAGGCGGGGGGAUGAUGACAAAAGAGAUUUGAAGGAAGACAAUGAGAGAGUUUUGCAGAUGUUUACAGGGAGCUGGUCCUAUGUGUGAGGAGCAGCAUGGAGAAAGCACAAAGGUGCUUGUGUGACCACAUUAGCAACUGGGUGACAGAGUUGGCAUUGCUCACAGCAGCACGGAGCCUGGAGUUGAUAUCACAAGGGUUACUUGAGAGGAUGGUCAAACUCUGCUAAAAUCCUUCUUUCUAAAAAGAACAAUUUGGUAUACAUCAAUUAUGCAUCACCUCUGCCACAUUUCACUUCAACCAUAUUUUCAUACCCACUCCUGCCACUGGCAGUUUAUCAGAAUGACCCCCCUGUGCUGUGAACUUACUGUUUUUCAGCAAAUGCCAUCAGCUUACCCUUGCUUUGCCUGGAAAUCAGAUGCAAAAACUCACUGUGGGCAUCAACAAUCUGUUUCAGGGGUUCCCAAAUUUCUUUACUCAAUCCUGCCUAUCAGUAACAAUUUACUUUUUGCCUCCAGAAUUCAUCUUUGUUUGUGGAUUCUGGAACUUAAAUAUUGAAAAAUUUAAGUGCCAACGUACAUCGGAAAUAAUUUGGUUUUCAUAAACCAUCUGGGAUAUAUCAGCGUGCCUAGCAGCCUUGUCUACACUUGUUAAAAAACCACCAAAACCAAACAAAAUUUAAACUAAAAUGGAGGCAAUGAAGUUGUUUGCAUACAAAAGUUGUGUACUGAUAGACAACAGGGUGGUGUGUUGCAGCUGCAAACCAGCUUGCUGAGUUACUGUCAGCCACAGUGCUGAGUAAGGGACAUGCUUCAGCUAUCUCAUUAGAUUGGUGCCAGAUAUAUACCUUUCCAUAAAGUAUGUUCUGUGAGCACCAAAAUGGGUUCUGCCAGAUCAGUAGUGCUGUUUGAACUCCCUAAACUGCAGCAAAGACAAAAGACAAUACAAUUUAUUUGCUGCAACCGAUGUCUGCAGAAGUUGGCUCUUGUAGUGGGUGAUAACUACAAAGAUUUAUCCCUUAACAUUCCCCAUUUCUCUCUCAGUAGCAGAAAAAUUGAAGGCAAAACUUUUAAUGCUGCAAGACAGUGUUGACUCUGUGUUAUUUCAGAAGUAAAUCAGUGCUGACCUUCAUCCUUUACACAAAAAGCAUCAUAUUGGUCAUUCACAAAGGGAUCGGUUUCAAUUUUAACAUCAAUGGCUUUCACGCUCUGCUGUUUGCUGCCCGUCUUUCUGCAUAUAAUUGUCCUAAAAUAAAGAAGAAGAAGAAAACAAU